AACGAACGCUGGCGGCAUGCCUAACACAUGCAAGUCGAACGGGAUCCUAGCUUGCUAGGUGAGAGUGGCGGACGGGUGAGUAACACGUGGGAAUCUGCCUUUGGUUCGGGAUAACCGCGGGAAACUGCGGCUAAUACCGAAUGCCCUCGAGAGAGGAAAGAUUUAUCGCCAGAAGAGGAGCCCGCGUCCGAUUAGGUAGUUGGUGGGGUAAAGGCCUACCAAGCCGACGAUCUUUAGCUGGUCUGAGAGGAUGAUCAGCCACACUGGGACUGAGACACGGCCCAGACUCCUACGGGAGGCAGCAGUGGGGAAUAUUGGACAAUGGGCGAAAGCCUGAUCCAGCAAUGCCGCGUGAGUGAUGAAGGCCUUAGGGUUGUAAAGCUCUUUUACCCGAGAUGAUAAUGACAGUAUCGGGAGAAUAAGCUCCGGCUAACUCCGUGCCAGCAGCCGCGGUAAU
rnacentral:rRNA from 1 species